AGAUCUCACACAUGUGAUUUGGUACCAGAAUCCAGUGUCUCCUCUCCUCAUUGGGUCUUUAUUAUGAAUGUCUAAUUGAUAUCUCUAACAGUCUUGUUGUGCCCCGUUUUCGACGGUCUGUCAAAAUACGUGAAAGCCGUCUGUUGUGCAAAAAGGUUUGGUCACGCUGCCCUUAACUGUGCUAAAUUAGCUCUCAGUUUCGUUAUUGUAUAAUAUUUUACAAUUAUCAACUACUCAGCUGUCAAGUUAUUGGUGCAUGCUGUUUGACACCAAACAAAAACAGUUGUGAGAAAAAUGUCACCUUCACUGACCUCCCCUUUUGUCAUAUUUCACCAGAACUUUGGUGCCAUUUGAGUGUUCACUUUAGCACAUCGCAGGAUCCCAGAAGACAGCUCCACUCUCUCUGUAUUACAAUCAUGAAGCAAUAGUUGGGUCCCUCUGCAUUUCUCAGUCUUAUUUAUAAUAAACACUUUCGACUGUUUAAAUGAAAAGUGGAUUUUUAUUUAUGUAUUUAUAUCCCUGAUACACCUCUGCGGUAUGCCUUUAAAUGGACAUUCCAGUUU